rnacentral:rRNA from 1 species
GGGCCCGCACAAGCGGUGGAGCAUGUGGUUUAAUUCGAUGAUACGCGAGGAACCUUACCAGGGCUUAAAUGUUAAGUGACAGAUCUAGAAAUAGAUUUUUCUUCGGACACUUAACAAGGUGCUGCAUGGUUGUCGUCAGCUCGUGCCGUGAGGUGUCAGGUUAAGUCCUAUAACGAGCGCAACCCCUGUUGUUAGUUGCCAGCGAGUAAUGUCGGGAACUCUAGCAAGACUGCCAGUGCAAACUGUGAGGGAAGGUGGGGAAUGACGUGCCAAAUCAUCGACGGCCCUUACCGUGCCUGGGCUACACACGUGCUACAAUGGUAGGUACAGAGAGCAGCCAAUGCGCGAGCAUGAG